AGCAGUAGCCGCGGGAAUACCAGCACCUCGAGUGGUCAGGAGGUUUAUUGGGCCUAAAGCAUCCGUAGCCGGUUGCAUAAGUUUUCGGUUAAAUCUAUGCGCUUAACGUAUAGGCCGCCGAAAAUACUGUGCAGCUAGGGAGUGGGAGAGGUACACGGUACUCGAUAGGAAGGGGUAAAAUCCUUUGAUCUAUUGAUGACCACCUGUGGCGAAGGCGGUGUACCAGAACACGUUCGACGGUGAGGGAUGAAAGCUGGGGGAGCAAACCGGAUUAGAUACCCCUGUAGUCCCUGUCUCUUAUAC
rnacentral:rRNA from 1 species